ACCGAUUGUAUUUAUAGAUAUAUAGUAUUAUAAGAUAGAUGUUUAGAUUAAAUGUAUAUAAUUUUAUGUUUUAAUAGUAUACCUUCAUAUGUAAUUAUUUAAAUUAUUAAUAUUGUUAAAAGUCUCACAUUAAAAAAUUAUGAUUAAUGGUUUACCUUUUUUUCAUAUAUGUUAUAUUUUGAUUUUUUUUAAUCUAUAAAUUAUUAAUAUUGUUAAAAGUCUCACAUUAAAAAAUUAUGAUUAAUGGUUUAACUUUUUUUUUUUGUUA
rnacentral:lncRNA from 1 species